rnacentral:rRNA from 1 species
GCUAGCAGCCAUAUCACCCUGCAGCACACAACUGACAACCCACAGGAGCUCAGCAGGUGUGAACCUGGUUAGUACCUGGAUGGGAGACUCCUGGGAAAAACUAAUGCUGCUUUUC